rnacentral:rRNA from 1 species
AUUGAACGCUGGCGGCAUGCCUUACACAUGCAAGUCGAACGGCAGCACGGGUGCUUGCCCCUGGUGGCGAGUGGCGAACGGGUGAGUAAUACAUCGGAACAUGUCCUGUAGUGGGGGAUAGCCCGGCGAAAGCCGGAUUAAUACCGCAUACGAUCUACGGAUGAAAGCGGGGGACCUUCGGGCCUCGCGCUAUAGGGUUGGCCGAUGGCUGAUUAGCUAGUUGGUGGGGUAAAGGCCUACCAAGGCGACGAUCAGUAGCUGGUCUGAGAGGACGACCAGCCACACUGGGACUGAGACACGGCCCAGACUCCUACGGGAGGCAGCAGUGGGGAAUUUUGGACAAUGGGCGAAAGCCUGAUCCAGCAAUGCCGCGUGUGUGAAGAAGGCCUUCGGGUUGUAAAGCACUUUUGUCCGGAAGGAAAUCCUUGGCCCUAAUACGGUCGGGGGAUGACGGUACCGGAAGAAUAAGCACCGGCUAACUACGUG